rnacentral:tRNA from 1 species
CUGGGUGCCGCCUACCCUGGUUUGGCAGCAGACUGUAAAUCUGUCGCGGAAACGCAUUGGGAGUUCAAAUCUCUCCACCCA